GGAGUUUUAGACUAAGGAAACCCAACUUUGCUAGGAUGUACAGGAAUUAACGGCAUGCGUUUGGGAUGCUAGUGCUUCUAGUUUUCAUUUUUUAUUUUCCCCAUUUAUAAACAAAAACCUCGUGCUGAGGGCGUAUGUUAGUGGUAGAGCACUUUCCUAGCACUUUCCUGAUUCCAUUCCCAGCACCGCCAGAGCAAAAACUAGAAAACCUCUGUAUAUCUUUGCAUUCACCUCAAGCAUUUUGUUUUUGUUUUUAUUUUUUUAUUCUAAUUAGUUAUACAUGACAGUAGAAUGCAUUUUGACAGCCCAUACAUAAAUGGAAUGUAACUUCUCAUUCGUUUGGUUGUACAUGAACCUCAAGCAUUUUUGCGCCAAUGAAUUAAGGCAAGAGUUUUUAGUCUUGGGUCCAGAAGAGUACAUUUAUACAGUUCAGAGUCCUUGAAUUUGGAUGGAGAAAAAUACACCAUAUUUUCGCCAAACUGACUGAUUUCAACACUUUGUUUAAGAAUGUAGCAAGAGACCACAGUGGUGUUGCAUAUUACCUGUGACUUGGUCACCUAUAGAACCACAAAUGGUAUCACAGUACAUUACAGUUAAUGUAGAUAUUUACACACUCACUUUUUUUUUUGAGAGAGAGAGAGAAUGAAUCUUUUUUGUAGAUGGAGACAACACAAUGCCUUUUAUUUUUAUGUGGUGCUGAGACUCGAACCCGGGCCCCUCCGGUACUAGGCAAG
rnacentral:lncRNA from 1 species